CGAACGGUAACAGGAAGCAGCUUGCUGCUUUGCUGACGAGUGGCGGACGGGUGAGUAAUGUCUGGGAAACUGCCUGAUGGAGGGGGAUAACUACUGGAAACGGUAGCUAAUACCGCAUAACGUCGCAAGACCAAAGAGGGGGACCUUCGGGCCUCUUGCCAUCGGAUGUGCCCAGAUGGGAUUAGCUAGUAGGUGGGGUAACGGCUCACCUAGGCGACGAUCCCUAGCUGGUCUGAGAGGAUGACCAGCCACACUGGAACUGAGACACGGUCCAGACUCCUACGGGAGGCAGCAGUGGGGAAUAUUGCACAAUGGGCGCAAGCCUGAUGCAGCCAUGCCGCGUGUAUGAAGAAGGCCUUCGGGUUGUAAAGUACUUUCAGCGGGGAGGAAGGGAGUAAAGUUAAUACCUUUGCUCAUUGACGUUACCCGCAGAAGAAGCACCGGCUAACUCCGUGCCAGCAGCCGCGGUAAUACGGAGGGUGCAAGCGUUAAUCGGAAUUACUGGGCGUAAAGCGCACGCAGGCGGUUUGUUAAGUCAGAUGUGAAAUCCCCGGGCUCAACCUGGGAACUGCAUCUGAUACUGGCAAGCUUGAGUCUCGUAGAGGGGGGUAGAAUUCCAGGUGUAGCGGUGAAAUGCGUAGAGAUCUGGAGGAAUACCGGUGGCGAAGGCGGCCCCCUGGACGAAGACUGACGCUCAGGUGCGAAAGCGUGGGGAGCAAACAGGAUUAGAUACCCUGGUAGUCCACGCCGUAAACGAUGUCGACUUGGAGGUUGUGCCCUUGAGGCGUGGCUUCCGGAGCUAACGCGUUAAGUCGACCGCCUGGGGAGUACGGCCGCAAGGUUAAAACUCAAAUGAAUUGACGGGGGCCCGCACAAGCGGUGGAGCAUGUGGUUUAAUUCGAUGCAACGCGAAGAACCUUACCUGGUCUUGACAUCCACGGAAGUUUUCAGAGAUGAGAAUGUGCCUUCGGGAACCGUGAGACAGGUGCUGCAUGGCUGUCGUCAGCUCGUGUUGUGAAAUGUUGGGUUAAGUCCCGCAACGAGCGCAACCCUUAUCCUUUGUUGCCAGCGGUCCGGCCGGGAACUCAAAGGAGACUGCCAGUGAUAAACUGGAGGAAGGUGGGGAUGACGUCAAGUCAUCAUGGCCCUUACGACCAGGGCUACACACGUGCUACAAUGGCGCAUACAAAGAGAAGCGACCUCGCGAGAGCAAGCGGACCUCAUAAAGUGCGUCGUAGUCCGGAUUGGAGUCUGCAACUCGACUCCAUGAAGUCGGAAUCGCUAGUAAUCGUGGAUCAGAAUGCCACGGUGAAUACGUUCCCGGGCCUUGUACACACCGCCCGUCACACCAUGGGAGUGGGUUGCAAAAGAAGUAGGUAGCUUAACCUUCGGGAGGCGCUUACCACUUUGUGAUUCAUGACUGGGGUGAAGUCGUAACAAGGUAACCGUAGGGGAACCUGCGGUUG
rnacentral:rRNA from 1 species